UGCAGUCGAGCGAUCGACGGGAGCUUGCUCCCUGAGAUUAGCGGCGGACGGGUGAGUAACACGUGGGCAACCUGCCUAUAAGACUGGGAUAACUUCGGGAAACCGGAGCUAAUACCGGAUACGUUCUUUUCUCGCAUGAGAGAAGAUGGAAAGACGGUUUACGCUGUCACUUAUAGAUGGGCCCGCGGCGCAUUAGCUAGUUGGUGAGGUAAUGGCUCACCAAGGCGACGAUGCGUAGCCGACCUGAGAGGGUGAUCGGCCACACUGGGACUGAGACACGGCCCAGACUCCUACGGGAGGCAGCAGUAGGGAAUCUUCCGCAAUGGACGAAAGUCUGACGGAGCAACGCCGCGUGAACGAAGAAGGCCUUCGGGUCGUAAAGUUCUGUUGUUAGGGAAGAACAAGUACCAGAGUAACUGCUGGUACCUUGACGGUACCUAACCAGAAAGCCACGGCUAACUACGUGCCAGCAGCCGCGGUAAUACGUAGGUGGCAAGCGUUGUCCGGAAUUAUUGGGCGUAAAGCGCGCGCAGGUGGUUCCUUAAGUCUGAUGUGAAAGCCCACGGCUCAACCGUGGAGGGUCAUUGGAAACUGGGGAACUUGAGUGCAGAAGAGGAAAGUGGAAUUCCAAGUGUAGCGGUGAAAUGCGUAGAGAUUUGGAGGAACACCAGUGGCGAGGCGACUUUCUGGUCUGUAACUGACACUGAGGCGCGAAAGCGUGGGGAGCAACAGGAUUAGAUACCCUGGUAGUCCACGCCGUAAACGAUGAGUGCUAAGUGUUA
rnacentral:rRNA from 1 species